GUGUAUAGGUUAAAAUAGGAUACAGUGGAGCUGGGAAGUGAUCAGUCUGUCCUCACAAGAAAAAAAGCUGAAUAAACUAAAAUUUAACAACUCUUCUUAGAUCCAUGAGAAAAUUGAAGUCAUGGCUGAAUUGCUGCCUUGAAAAUUGGGGGGAAGACUGACUACAGAGAGUCAUAGUAUACCAGGCUCAGAAGCUGCUGCUGGAGCCAGUAACUGAUGCUGAUCUUUCUUAUUAUUUAAAUUAUGAUUUUAAUGAAGAUACCUGGAAAGCUUACUGUGAAAAACAAAAGAGGUUAUGAAUGGGACUUGAAGUUAUACCAGUUACCUCUACUACAAAUAAAAUUACAGUAAUUAAAUCCAUUUCUUUCUGGAGAGCUGGUUAUGGAACCUUUGCUUGCAUGCCAGUAUCUACACACCAGCGGAAGUACUGCAGAUAUUUCCAAGCAUGCUCCCAUCCAAAUUGCCAGGAGUCACUGCUGAGGACUCAGCCAUCGCUGUGACGACAGACUUUCAUAAUGUCUAGUCCGGAUCCAGUUGCUGUACAGGGGAUCAGUGCGGGGGCCCAGCCGUUCUAACUGGGGGAGACACCACUCCUUGUUUUCCUUUCCAAAGGCAGAGGGUCCAGGUGAAAUGACAAAGCCUGUGCCUGUAAAGCUUAUAGAACUUAAUGAUAAGGAUUCAAAGAUAAAUUCAAUGGAAAGGUCAGUCACAGGGCCUAUUGCUCAUGUGAUACAAAGCGACUUGUGCCAGGCUGGCUUUUGCAGACCUCAAACAUUGGACAUACAUUCAGAGCUCCACUUAAUGCUCCCAGCCAAGAAAUCAAUUGCUUCCAGGCUGGGGUGGAGGGACUGUGAUGUGGCCAAAGGUACAAGAGGGCUCCUGGCCCAGCAGGCAUUCGCUUUCACUCUGCAGUAAUCUCUAAUGCAGAAGUGGGUUAAAGGCUCUGAAAGGUCAGGACAUUGACACCCCGUGACUGGUAUCACCCCUUGUGGCUCUCCCUGUUCCUUCUCUCAGUGUCCUCAGGGCCUCCCUUAGCAAGAGCCCACAUGGCCUUGUGGAAACAGAUCCUACUUUUCUAGACUGUGCCAGGGUAGUCUGAGUGAGAAGGGAAAGUGGCAAGGAGAGAAUCACUUCUAUAAACAGUCCACAGUAGAGAGAGCUUGUAAGUGCUGUCUCCAAAGGAGGGCCCCGCAUCAGCUGUCAUGGUGAGCAAAAGCAGGGCUGUGAGAAGGCUCAUCCCUGGGAUGGGGCAGCACUGAGAUCCUGGCCUAGGAAGGCUGUCUCUGUGUGCUUUCCUCAAUGGCAGGAUGGAGAUAAGACAGGUGACACAUUUAUGUGACAUUUCCAACCACAAGCCCUGAAUCUUUUUUGUGUCCUGGGGAGUGUCAGCUUUUUAAUGAUCUCUCUGGACCCCUGGGGAGCUAUUUACAGGGAAAAUACCUUUUAUCCUCAAAUUCUCCAUGUGCCAUGAAGA